rnacentral:tRNA from 1 species
GGGGCCAUAGCUCAGCUGGGAGAGCGCGUCUCUGGCAGGGACGAGGUCGCCGGUUCGAGCCCGGCUGGCUCCA